rnacentral:lncRNA from 1 species
UUUCCAAAAAUGAUGAAAUUUUUUCUCCAAGGUCCUUUGACCUUGUUUGACCUAUGAUAAAUCUCUUGACCAUUUUUUUAAUUUAAUGUAUAUUUAAUUGUGAAUAAAUGGUGUUAAGCUAUUUUCAUUGACUUGUUGAGUUUGACUAUGUUGUUUGAGCCUUGGUCAAGGUUGAUUUGACUUUUGUUGGAUUAAAAUCAUUGGAUUUAGGGGAUUGAUG